AUUUUCAUACCUAAACACCAUUAAAGCAGCAAAUCCUGUCUGAUCUUGGAAGCUAAGCAAGGUGAUUUCUGGUUAGUACCUGGAUAGGAAACUCCAGUGAAUACCAAGUGCAGAAGGGU
rnacentral:rRNA from 1 species